rnacentral:rRNA from 1 species
UACGGAGGGUGCAAGCGUUACUCGGAAUCACUGGGCGUAAAGAGCGUGUAGGCGGAUAGAUAAGUCAGAAGUGAAAUCCAAUAGCUUAACUAUUGAACUGCAUUUGAAACUGGCAGACUAGAGUACUGUAGAGGGGGUAGAAUUUCAGGUGUAGCGGUGAAAUGCGUAGAGAUCUGAAGGAAUACCGGUGGCGAAGGCGGCCCCCUGGACAGAUACUGACACUCAGAUGCGAAAGCGUGGGGAGCAAACAGG